rnacentral:rRNA from 1 species
GUGGGGAAUUUUGGACAAUGGGCGCAAGCCUGAUCCAGCCAUGCCGCGUGCAGGAUGAAGGCCUUCGGGUUGUAAACUGCUUUUGUACGGAACGAAAAGACUUCUUCUAAUACAGGAGGUCCAUGACGGUACCGUAAGAAUAAGCACCGGCUAACUACGUGCCAGCAGCCGCGGUAAUACGUAGGGUGCAAGCGUUAAUCGGAAUUACUGGGCGUAAAGCGUGCGCAGGCGGUUAUAUAAGACAGAUGUGAAAUCCCCGGGCUCAACCUGGGAACUGCAUUUGUGACUGUAUAGCUAGAGUACGGUAGAGGGGGAUGGAAUUCCGCGUGUAGCAGUGAAAUGCGUAGAUAUGCGGAGGAACACCGAUGGCGAAGGCAAUCCCCUGGGCCUGCACUGACGCUCAUGCACGAAAGCGUGGGGAGCAAACAGGAUUAGAUACCCCAGUAGUCC